UACAGAGGGUGCGAGCGUUAAUCGGAAUUACUGGGCGUAAAGGGUGCGUAGGUGGUUACGUAAGUUAGGUGUGAAAGCCCCGGGCUCAACCUGGGAACUGCGCUUAAUACUGCGAAGCUAGAGUGUUGUAGAGGUAAGUGGAAUUUCCGGUGUAGCGGUGAAAUGCGUAGAUAUCGGAAGGAACACCAGUGGCGAAGGCGACUUACUGGGCAAUAACUGACACUGAGGCACGAAAGCGUGGGGAGCAAACAGG
rnacentral:rRNA from 1 species